UGCGUAGGGUGCAAGCGUUGUCCGGAAUCAUUGGGCGUAAAGCGCGUGUAGGCGGCCAGAAAAGUCCGCUGUGAAAACUCGAGGCUCAACUUCGAGCUGUCGGUGGAAACUUUCUGGCUAGAGUCCGGAAGAGGAGAAUGGAAUUCCUGGUGUAGCGGUGAAAUGCGCAGAUAUCAGGAAGAACACCCGUGGCGAAGGCGGUUCUCUGGGACGGUACUGACGCUGAGACGCGAAAGCGUGGGGAGCGAACAGG
rnacentral:rRNA from 1 species